rnacentral:rRNA from 1 species
GAUGAACGCUGGCGGCGUGCCUAAUACAUGCCAGUCGAGCGAACAGAUGAGGAGCUUGCUCCUCUGACGUUAGCGGCGGACGGGUGAGUAACACGUGGAUAACCUACCUAUAAGACUGGGAUAACUUCGGGAAACCGGAGCUAAUACCGGAUAAUAUAUUGAACCGCAUGGUUCAAUAGUGAAAGACGGUUUUGCUGUCACUUAUAGAUGGAUCCGCGCCGCAUUAGCUAGUUGGUAAGGUAACGGCUUACCAAGGCAACGAUGCGUAGCCGACCUGAGAGGGUGAUCGGCCACACUGGAACUGAGACACGGUCCAGACUCCCACGGGAGGCAGCAGUAGGGAAUCUUCCGCAAUGGGCGAAAGCCUGACGGAGCAACGCCGCGUGAGUGAUGAAGGUCUUCGGAUCGUAAAACUCUGUUAUUAGGGAAGAACAAAUGUGUAAGUAACUAUGCACGUCUUGACGGUACCUAAUCAGAAAGCCACGGCUAACUACGUG